rnacentral:tRNA from 1 species
UCAAAGUUGGAUUAAUGGUAAAGCAUUGGACUGACGUUCCGGAGGUCAAGGGUUCGAUCCCAAACUUGGUU